CCGUGCGGCCACAUGCUCGGGUACGCACCGGAUCCCGUUCGAUCUCCGAAGUUAAGCCCGUGACAGCUCCGAUAGUACUGCGAUGGGCGACCGCGUGGGAACACUGAGUGCUGCACUUU
rnacentral:rRNA from 1 species